rnacentral:lncRNA from 1 species
ACUAAUGGUGGCUGUGGGCACUUCCUUGCUGAUCUGGGUUCUCUUCAGGCUAAUUGUGCAGAACACUUCUAGAAUAAAUGAAGAUCAUGUAACAAAUAGAGAUGGUAGUGCUGUCUGAACAGUCUCUGGAGUAUGUCACUGUGCUUCUUACCAACAUAGGGAUGCCUUGACUAAAGUGGGCCUGAAAUGGAUGAAAAGAAAAACCCUUAGUUUCUGCAGUCAGAAAUGAUGCCACCCUCAAAGUGCCACAGCAUGAACAGAAGACUUGUCUCACAGAAGUCAACAGUCAUUGAGGAGAUGCAUGUAGACAUGGAGCAGAACCCCUGUGUGGUGGGCUGCAGACUGCUUCCUCCAACCUCCCUGCCCCAUCCCCACACAAAAAGAUACCCAAAUCCUAAUCUCUGGAACCUAUAAAUGUUUCCUUAUUUUGAAAAAGAGUCUUUGCAGAUGUGA